GAAAAGUCUUCUUGUGCUCUAAAACUUCAGUCUUCUCAGUUCUCACAAUUGCCAAAAGUCUAUGUCCCAUCCUCUUUUCUCUUCCUUCCCCUCCUCCUCUGCCGCUGCUGCUUUAGCGCCGAGGAUUCUUUUAGCAUGGGACAGGUCUUCUAAUUUGUGUUAUCAAGAUUUGAGCAAGCACUGUCUCCAUCGCAUCUCUAUUAAGCUUGAAUGACCUAGAUGUUAGGGUUGAAAGGAACGGAGGAUUUCUUAUUCUAUGCACAAAUCUCAGGUACCCAUCUCCAUUCCUUAAUAUUAGAUCCAUUUAUCUGCUAUUCUUUUGUCAAAUUCGAAGCAGUUUCUAGGUAAUCUUUAUUGAUUUUAUUUCUCUCGCAACUUCUGAGCAAUUUGAGUGAUUAACAUUUUGUAUUUCUCUUUUUCCACAAUUUCCCUUUUUCUCAUAUUUCCCUAAAUUUCUAUAUACCUAAUUGAGAUGUUACUGAUGAAUAGGUUAUGAGUUACCUAUGUUGUUCUCAGCUCUAUUUUCCAAUUUCGCCAUUUGAGAUCACAAAAAGGAAGUUACAAUAGUCCCUUUCUUUUUUGCCUCUUGUUUGAGGUUUCUUCUAUAAUUGGUAUUUUCUUGUUCUUAUUUGAUUUCCUUUCUUUUCUUGCGAUCUAUUUACUGCUUUUAGCUUUCUAGAUCAUAGGAGGAGUUCAAUGGCUAUUUAUAUGUAGAAAGGAAUUUCUAAUGUUUCAUAAUUAUUUUCUUAUUCAUUGACAAGUACAAAUCAAAAUCCUCUCCUGACUUGUGCCGAAUAAUGUUCAUGGAGAAGGUUUUGUGUCUCUAUAAUCUAUUAAUGUGAUUAUUUGGAAGUAUGUAUAUGCUAUGUGUUAUUUCAUUGGAUUUUUUUAUGUACAAGUAUUUGAUUAUUAAUGGGAUUAUAUUUUACAAAGAUAUUCAAAUUUUUUUCCAUAUUACAUGGGUUUUUCAUGUUGGUUUUCAAGUAUUUUAUAAAGUUAUUGGUUAGUAGGUUCUUACAAGGGUUUUUCAUGUUGGGUUUUCUUCUAAUCCAUGAUUUGUUCUGUUUAUGUUGAAAAUUUCCAAUUUUUCACAUGGGAGUUGAUAAGCAUGUCCUUUUCCGAUUUAUCUUACAUUUUUCCUUAUUUCUCUAGUUGUCUAGUUGCUUGUGAUUUGAGUUAAUUAUGAUAUAAAAGAUAUUUAUUUAAUCAUGAUUUGAGUGAUCUUUAGUUAAUUACAAUUAGACUUUAUUUCUCCAGUGCUUGGGGUUUUAUUGUAAAGCUAAGCACUCCAGCUUCUAGUGGCAUUAAGGUCUAUAAAAUUGCUACUAAAAAUUAUUUCACUUAUACUUAUUAGUGUGAUUAUAAUUGUUCAAGUUGUUAUUCUGCAGAACGCUUCUUAAAUUGUUCUGAUGCUACUAAAGCCAAGGACGGUAUGUUUUGCUAUCUUUAUAAAGGAUUAUUGAACAAUAGUUGUUGUUAAAAAGGUUAUUGUGUCAUCUGAUAAGUAGAACUCAAAAAAAUUCCAUACUGAGCUUGACCUAUUAUCAAAGAUUAAACCAUGCCCAUUUGCCCAAACUGCUUAGCUAUUGUGAAGAAGGUGGAGAA
rnacentral:misc_RNA from 1 species